rnacentral:rRNA from 1 species
AGAAUCAACGCUGGCGGCGUGCCUAACACAUGCAAGUCGAACGAGAAAGUGGAGCAAUCCAUGAGUAAAGUGGCGACCGGGUGAGUAACACGUGACUAACCUACCUUCGAGUGGGGGAUAACCUCGGGAAACCGGGGCUAAUACCGCAUAACAUCUUUGAAGUGGAAAUUUCGGAGAUCAAAGGAGCAAUUCGCUGGAAGAGGGGGUCGCGGCUGAUUAGCUAGUUGGCGGGGUAAUGGCCCACCAAGGCUUAGAUCGGUAGCCGGCCUGAGAGGGCGCACGGCCACACUGGAACUGAAACACGGUCCAGACUCCUACGGAGGCAGCAGUGGGGAAUUUUGCGCAAUGGGGGAAACCCUGACGCAGCAACGCCGCGUGGAGGAUGAAGUCCCUUGGGACGUAAACUCCUUUCGACCCGGACGAUAAUGACGGUACGGGUGGAAGAAGCCCCGGCUAACUUCGCGCCAGCAGCCGC